rnacentral:misc_RNA from 1 species
AACGCACCUUGCGCCCCUUGGUAUUCCGAGGGGCAUGCCCGUUUGAGUGUCAUGUUCAUCUCAACCCUCAAGUCUUUGUUGACUUUGGGGCGUUGGACUUGAAGGUUGCUGGCUCCCCUCUUGUAGUCGGCUCCUUCUAAAUGCAUUAGCUGGGCUUUGACUCGCGUUUGUUACGGUGUAAUAGUAAUUUGUUCACCGGGGCGCUUGUCUAGUGGGUCCGCUUCUAAUCGUCUUCGGACAAGACGUUUGCGCGUCUUCACUUGACCUUUUGACCUCAAAUCGGGUAGGACUACCCGCUGAACUUAA